GAAUUCGUAAACCAGUUCCCAUCCUCCCCGCAAUCCAAUACCUGUCUUUCACUCCUAUAAAUUCUUCUCCCCUGCCUUCCCUCUUUCCCAAGAUACAAAUUUCCCAAACAGUUUCAGUUUAAGGACCUCGUCUUCUUCCUUCAAAUUCUCCAUUUGAUCAGCUCUUUUCUUUGAGUUUUUUCACCUCUGAAAAUCAAUGGCUGCUUCAAUCUCAGCAGCAACCAUCGCCGCCGUUAACAGAGCACCGUUGAACUUCAAUGGCUCUGCUUUCUUAGGCAGUAGCAGCUUGAAGAAGGUGAGCUCCAAGAUCAUCAGCCACCCAAAGAUACGUUCACCUGGGAAUUUCAUGGUUGCUGCAGAAUACGAUGAGUCGAAGCAGACCCCCAAAGACAGGUGGGGAGGGCUUGCCUUUGACACUUCAGAUGACCAGCAGGACAUCACCAGAGGAAAGGGCAUGGUGGACACGCUUUUCCAAGCUCCUAUGGGCAGUGGGACCCACUACGCCGUCAUGAGCUCCUACGAUUACAUCAGUACUGGUCUUCGCCAAUUGGACAACAUGAUGGAUGGCUUCUACAUUGCUCCAGCUUUUAUGGACAAACUUGUUGUUCACAUUACUAAGAACUUUCUGAACCUGCCCAACAUUAAGGUUCCUCUUAUUUUGGGUGUCUGGGGAGGCAAAGGUCAAGGAAAGUCAUUCCAAUGUGAGCUUGUCUUUGCCAAGAUGGGAAUCAACCCUAUUAUGAUGAGUGCUGGAGAAUUGGAAAGUGGAAAUGCUGGGGAGCCAGCAAAACUGAUCAGGCAAAGGUACCGCGAGGCAGCAGACAUCAUCAGCAAGGGCAAAAUGUGCUGCCUCUUCAUCAACGAUUUAGAUGCAGGAGCUGGAAGACUGGGUGGAACUACUCAAUACACUGUCAACAAUCAAAUGGUGAAUGCUACCCUUAUGAACAUUGCUGACAACCCAACCAAUGUCCAACUCCCAGGUAUGUAUAACAAGCAGGAGAAUCCUCGCGUUCCCAUCAUAGUCACCGGUAAUGACUUCUCCACAUUGUACGCACCUCUCAUCCGCGAUGGGCGUAUGGAGAAGUUCUACUGGGCCCCUACUCGUGAAGACUGCAUUGGUGUGUGCAUGGGAAUUUUUCGCGCUGACAAUGUUCCCAGAGGUGACAUUGUCAAGCUCGUUGACACCUUCCCUGGUCAGUCCAUUGAUUUCUUUGGUGCCAUCAGGGCCAGAGUUUAUGACGAUGAAGUGAGGAAAUGGAUUGCAAGUGUUGGGGUAGAAGGCAUCGGGAAGAGGCUAGUGAACUCGAAAGAGGCACCCCCGACUUUUGAUCAACCGAAGAUGACUCUUGAGAAGCUGCUUGAGUAUGGAAACCUGCUGGUGCAAGAGCAGGACAAUGUGAAGAGAGUCCAAUUGUCCGACAAGUACUUGAAAGAGGCAGCUCUUGGGGAUGCCAAUGACGAUGCCAUAAAGAGUGGAAGUUUCUACGGCAAAGCAGCACAACAGGUUAACCUGCCUGUCCCUGAAGGUUGCACCGAUCCAUCUGCUGCGAACUACGAUCCCACGGCGAGGAGCGAUGACGGGAGUUGCCUGUACCAAUUUUAGAAGUGUACUUAUUGAGGGCGUUUGUUUGCCCUCACUAAGUGAGACUAGACUGGACUGGACUAAAAGUUAGUGCAAUAUUGUGUUUGUUGCCCUCACUAAGUGGGAUUAGGUGGGAUUCAUCCCGACUAGAGAGCUUGCUAGAGGGUCUUAGCUAGACCCCCCAAAAUGAGGCGUACUGCUAAGACCUUCGCUCUUCGCGUCGUCUGCUUCAUCUGCUCGCAUUGUGUCCUCUUCCUGCUCCAUGACCUUGCCGUCAAAUCCUCACAAUCCUUCCCCGCACGAAUCUUCCUCUCUCUCCCUUGCUCUAUCUUUGCAUUGAUAGCCCCACCCACCACCUAAAUUCCAAAAUUCGAUUACCACCCACCGAUGGGUCUGCUUGAUCCAAGGUUGAAAUUGCUGUUGGCGCCGCCCACUCCUCUUCUGAAGGUUAUCUCCCUCUUUCUCUGUCGAAGUCUCAAUGAUGGCUACCAUUGCUGCAUCACCAACUCGGCUGUCUCAAAAGGAGGCUGACAUUCAGAUGAUGUUGGCCGUCGAGGCCAUCUAGGCACCAAAAUUUGAUAAAAAGACGCACCUUCAAGAGACGCAACAAUUCUAGUCCAGUUCGAGACAGUUCGGUGCAACAAAUACACCCAUAGGAAUUUGAGAAUAUAUAUGCAUUAGAAUGUGGUGGCCUUCAUUGUGUCGUUGAAAUGUACAUGUGCAGCGAUUCUCUUGAGUAAAGAUAGGUAAAUAUAUACCAGCCCAAUUCAUUGCACUAGUUUUUCUAAGUAUCAAUCUAAUGAAAAUGAAUCAAAUGCUAUGACAAUAGAAAGGCGUAACUAAAUUCUGCUUGCUCUAUAUUACCGUGUGCCAAACAGCAAAUAUGAAAACAAUAGGCAGGAAUUUGUAGAUUGUAAUUUAAGCCCAUUGUUCACAUGAUCAAAGCAGCCAAGGUUCAACUAGAUGACUCCUCCUGGAAUUUGGACCUAAUCUUUUAUUUGAGUGGUUGCCUGUUAGUCAGAUCAUUCUAUUUAUUAUUAUUUGGACCUAAUCUUUUAUUUAUUAUUAUUCUACGUGUUUGAUCAUUCUAUGAUUUCCCCAAAACAUAAUGUUGGCGUCCACACAUGGCCGGAGUUUGGACUGGAUUCAACACGUAUUUCUCCAAGUGUUGCUUCUGGUCUCAGCGUUAGGGGACUCAAGAGAAAUAGAGAAUAAGCGUGCCAUUGUUAGAGGCUGCCAAUAGACAAUAUUUGUAUUCGAGUGUGUGUGAAAGUUGUGCGUAAAUAUGACUUUUGAACAAAAUAAUUGUACAUCAAGUGAGACGCUGGUUCGUUUUUCUUUCUA